rnacentral:rRNA from 1 species
GACGAACGCUGGCGGCGUGCCUAAUACAUGCAAGUCGAACGCAGUGGGGACGGGUGAGUAACCCGUGGGUAACCUCCCAUCAGAGGGGAUAACACUUGGAAACAGGUGCUAAACCGAGACUGAUGGAUGGACCCGCGGUGCAUUAGCGAGUUGGUGAGGUAACGGCUCACCAAGGCCACGAUGCAUAGCCGACCUGAGAGGAUGAUCGGCCACACUGGGACUGAGACACGGCCCAGACUCCUACGGGAGGCAGCAGUAGGGAAUAUUCGGCAAUGGACGAAAGCCUGACGGAGCAAUGCCGCGUGAGUGAAGAAGGUUUUCGGAUUGUAAAGUUCUGUGGUUAGAGAAGCGGUAUCUAACCAGAAAGCCACGGCUAACUACGUGCCAGCAGCCGCGGUAAUAC